rnacentral:rRNA from 1 species
UGGCUCAGGAUGAACGCUAGCUACAGGCUUAACACAUGCAAGUCGAGGGGCAGCAUGGAGUUGCUUGCAAACUCUGAUGGCGACCGGCGCACGGGUGAGUAACGCGUAUCCAACCUUCCCUAUAGUAGAGGAUAGCCCGGCGAAAGUCGGAUUAAUACUCUAUGUUUUCCGUUGCAGACAUCUAAGAUGGAACAAAGGCUUGCCGCUAUAGGAUGGGGGGUGCGUCUGAUUAGGUAGUCGGCGGGGUAACGGCCCACCGAGCCAUCGAUCAGUAGGGGUUCUGAGAGGAAGGUCCCCCCACAUUGGAACUGAGACACGGUCCAAACUCCUACGGGAGGCAGCAGUGAGGAAUAUUGGUCAAUGGGCGAGAGCCUGAACCAGCCAAGUAGCGUGCAAGAUGACGGCCCUAUGGGUUGUAAACUGUCUUUUAUGGCGGGGAUAAAGUUCACUACGUGUAGUGUUUUGUAGGUACCGCAUGAAUAAGGACCGGCUAAUUCCGUGCCAGCCGCGGC